rnacentral:rRNA from 1 species
CGUUUUGUCUGGUUAAUUCAGUUAACGAACGAGACCACAGCCUACUAAAUAGUACGUGUUAUGGUAACAUAGUAUGAGACUUCUUAGAGGGACAUUUCGGGUUUACCGAAAGGAGGUUUGUGGCAAUAACAGGUCUGUAAUGCCCUUAGAUGUUCUGGGCCGCACGCGCGCUACACUGACGACUUCAACAAGUUUUUUGGCCUUGCCAAAUUUCCUUGGCCGGAAGGUCUGGGUAAUCUUUUAAAAGGUCGUCGUGAUGGGGCUAGAUUCUUGCAAUUAUUAAUCUCCAACGAGGAACC